CAACAUCCACAAACCACUUGAGUUUAAGCUCUUCACUUUACACUACUUUUUUUUGUCAUAUCACGGGACACUUAACAAAAUCAUUGAGGAAAAUAGUGAAAAGAAGUGUUUAUUUAUUUUUCCAUUAAUAUUGAAGUGAUAUUAACUAGAGAAAAUUAAUCACAUUCACGUUCACAUUCACUUCCCCCUCUAUAUAAACCCUACACCCAGCACCGCUCAUACUCACCAAGUGAACCAAUAUAGCCCAAGCCCUAUACAACCAAACCCUAACACACACCCAUUUGAUUCAGUUUCCAUGGCUAGCCUCAAGGUUGCAUUUUUGGCUGCAGUGCUCUGCAUGGUUGUGGUGAGUGCACCCAUGGCACAUGCAGCUAUCACGUGCGGGCAGGUGACGAAUAGCCUGAUCAAUUGCAUCGGUUACCUCCAGAACGGAGGAACGCCGCCGUCGGGAUGCUGCAACGGAGUGAAGAGCCUCAAUGCCGCCGCCAAGACCACCGCCGACCGCCAGACGGCGUGCAACUGCCUCAAGUCGGCCGCCAGCCAAAUCUCCGGCUUCAAAGCCAACAACGCCGCCUCGCUCCCCGGCAAAUGCGGAGUCUCCAUCCCCUACAAGAUCAGCACCUCCACCAACUGCGCUACGUAAGAAUAUAUAUAACUUCAUUUUAAUUAUCAUCAUAUUUUUUUCCCACUCUCACUAUACUCUCUUUUUGCUGAUGAAAUUAUUCUAUAGUCUAAAGUGACAAAAGGAUGGCCUUUUUACAAGUAUAAAAAAAUUCAUUAGAAAGCCUAACAACUAACUAAUUAAUUUUCACCUAACAUGUUUUGAACUAAUAUAUCAUGAAACAAGCAAAAUCUUAUAUUUUGAAUGUUAUCUCUUUUAUUUUUGUAUAUUUAAACCCACGUAAUUCCAGUUUUUAUAAUCAGUCCUCUCUGACUCAAGAUCUUGGGUAAGCCUUGUCUAGGAUAAUAAUUUAGAUUAAUUUCUAUUUGAUACUUAGUUGCACUUUAUUGAUUUUUUUUUCUCGUAAAUGUAGAGAUCAAUUGAAACUGUAGAUAAAGGACGAUUGCAAACCAUACCUUAAAUUUUUAAAUUCAUGUUACUGAUAUCUCAUCAUAGGGAGAAUGAAAUAUGUCAUAAUAAAAUAAAUUAUAAUUUUCAUGUUAAUUUUAAGUAACUAUAAAUAAUUUUUUUUUAAAAAAACUAUUGCAUAAAAAUUAUAUAUUUUUUUUCAUUUUUAAUGAUUUAAAAGUAACUCUAAAGAUUAAUGAUAGCAAAACCAAAUGAAACAAGAUACUAGUAUAUUGUACACUUCCGCCCCUAUUCUUUCAUUAAUAUACUUCUACUUCAGCUCACUAUGCAAACUAUACUAAAUAUAGAGUAAUCUAUUUUGAUUUGACCGUGUUCAUUACCUUGAUUCAUUUGUUGGUUACACUUUGCAGCAUCAAGGUUUGAAGAGAAAGUCAUGGACGCAGGAAACCGGAAACUACUCACUAGUAUAUGAGUAGCAUUAUUAAUAUUAAGAAUAAGAUCGAGGGUGAUGAGGGCUCCACUUAUAUGCCCCUCUCCUCUUGUAUGAGAGAUUUGUAUUGGAUAGCUUUAAAUUGUGUUGCGUUGUUAUUUCUCUGUAUGAGUUACACAUAGUUAUAUCUACUUUAAUAUUGGGUUCUCCCUACUUUGUCUCGUUGCUCUUUUUUGGAUUUAUCAUCGAUAUCACUCAUCACAUCUCUAUAAUUAGCUGAUAAAAAAACAACGAUUAGUAAUUGGUACUAAUAUUUGGAUCAAUUUAAUUUGAUUAGUUUGUUGAUAAAAAAUAACAGUUUUACAUUAUAAGUGAAUUAUAAAUGUCUCUUAUUUAAAAUAGCAGUGUUAAAAUGUCACAAAAAUCAUCAUGUGAAUAACGAGUCCUAAAGGUUAUAUAAUGAUUAGAAAUGUCUCGCUUUCAAAUUUUAAUGGUGAUAAGGUACGGUGGUUGAAGGUCUUUCUCAGAUAUUCAUUAUGAACCUAUUGGAAUUGUAUGUCAAACAUAUCAUAAAUGAAAAGUCGAAAGUACUAGAUUACAUACAUACCUUGCUAACUUUUUUUUUUACCAAACCUUGCUAACUUAAUCACUUCCAUUAUUUAAACGUCAAAAAAAUAUAUUAUAGGUGAUAUUGUAUAUAUAAUUAAACGUACAAUUUUUUGCCAGUCACAAAUAUUGUUUGAUCCAGUCAGAAAUUUAUGAUUAAAAAACAUUUUCCUUAUCUAUUUGUCUAUAAACUCCGCAUAUUUGUAAGAGGUUAAAUCUUAGUUUUAAGAAGUCAAGCUAUGAUCUCAAUAUAACAUAAACUAUUCUUUUAUGAGAAUAAAGCAAAUUAAGAUUCUAUUUUUCUUUUUUUCUUUCUUUAACUAAAUAAAAACCUUUAAAAAAUAAAUAAAUUUAAUAUUUUCUUUUUCUGCAUUCAAACUAAAUCGAAUGGCCUGACUAUUGAAAAACGUAAACUUCUCUAUCUUUUGUUAAAAGAAAAAUGAAUUUUAUUGAUAAAAGCCUAAUAGGUAGUCAAAAUUCACACAAAAAGUGCCAGAACUGAUCGCAAAAGUCCAAGACAGAAACAGACGAAAAUCAUUCAAUAAGGACCAAAACAGACCAAAUUUUCAACCUCCCUAGUUCCUAGCCAUACCACUCCACACACGUUAAAAAAACACAUACUUGUAAAGGCCCAGACCACCCCGCAACGCAUUACAAAAUCAGCUAAAAAUAGAGAAGAAAGAGAUAAGGUGGAAUUUUGAAUUGAUUGGUUUGAGAAAUAUUAUAAAAAAUAAAUUUAAGAAAAAUAAUAUUUUGAGAUAGUUUGAUUUGAAUAAAUGGAAAGAAGAGAAAUUAGAGUAAAUAAAAAAAAUAUACCAUUUUAUCCUUACCAUCUAAAAUAAUUGCUCGUACCAAUUUAAUUUAUUAUGCAUGUGUUUGUUUGCAUGUUUAGAGCCUUUUUUAUCGUCAAAAUAUAAAAAACAACGCAGAAGCUUCAUUUUGCUGCUUCAAGCUUGACCUGGGUCAAUGAUGUUGGACGCUAAACCAAAAAGACAUUAUAUAUGUAUAUGGUAAUCGAUUAAAUUGUUCUUCUAAGAAUCACAUCAUUGCAUUCUUCUAUUUAAUUGAUUAUUAUAUGAAUAUCUCCACUAAUUAACUGGUUCAUCCACGAGUAAACAAGCAUGGUGAACAACCUCAGCAUAUAUAUUGUGUAGAAUAUCAAAAUUGUAAGUAAAUUACCUUGUAGAAUUAGGAGGCACUUAUAAAACUAAGAACAAAUUAAGAUCAUCUCCACGAAAUAGAUCUUCCACACAAUACAUACAUUAUUGAUUAUUUACGCGGGGAGUACUAGCAGCGGCGCAAGGUUGUGUUUUUCGUAAACUUUCACGGUUGCUUUUCGUGCUAAACAGUAUUUUUCAAUUUCUAUUUAGAUUUUAAAUCCACCUAUUGCAAGUUUUGAGAGUUGGGCAUUUGUAACUAUGAAAUUAUCAAGCCAGGACCAAGUUAUCAUGCCUUAGAUAUUUCACCUCAGUUUUUUUUUAUCAGCAAAAUAUAUUUAUAGAUAGGUAGAAAACGGAACAACACGGUACAAGUGGUACCGUUAAAACAACAGAACAACUGCAACUAGAGUUACAACAUAGAAAGGGAGCAUCCACUUAAUCCAUACCUCACAAAAACCCAAUCUUCCUUAAUGCAAGUGUUUGGAUUACUCAACCAGACCUACCAUGAAGAGCUAAAGGCCUCAUCUUUGGAAGAAAGCACUACUAAAAAAAUACUUUUUUACAAUGCACCUUCGACACUAGUUCCCACAAAACAGUCUUAGUAUAUAAAAUAGUGGCAAUUUUGUAAAUAUAAAGUUUUUCAACAAAGACGAUUUUACAAAAACCGUCUUAGACAGGUAGCUUUUUAAGAUGGUUUUGCAAAAACCAUCUUAAAAUGACAUUUUUCUAAAACGGUUUCGCGAAAACUAUCAUCAAAGGAUGAGAGACUUUUCGCUGAGAUUAAAUUCAUCCAUAAACCUAGGUAGACCCUAACUACUUUCAUAACAACAGCCAAAGGUGACCUUUGGAGUUCAGGUCGCACGGGUUGUGGAAGUUUCGAGACUUGACCUAACGGCACACGAGGAUUUGUUGGGGAUUUGUUGCGCUUCCCUAUAGCCUCCAGAUCCAGAAGACCUUCAACAACAUCAAGAUCACCAUUGUCUACGACUUUGUACAACGAGGUCAUCAACCAAAAUCUCAUUGAGGAGACCAACCGCAUCCUCGUCAAGAUUCAAUAUGACGCUGACCCUUUCGAUCCCAACGACCAACAAUUCUUCAACCCUAACGACACCUUCACCCUUCACCCAAAAAAUUGGCUUCACCAAAACCCCGAGUACCCUAAUUUCCUCAAAGGUAAACCUCGCAUCUUACUCCUUACCGGUUCCCCUCCCAAGCCCUAUGAUAACCUUAUUCUUGUUUCAAAUUUAAUUUAUUAUUAGGGUCUAAUUCAUUAUUAUGUUUGUAGAAGAAAAUAUGAUAUGAAGUUUUAUGAAGUUUUGAUAAUGUCAAAGAUAAGCGCUUCUCACGUUUGAUCCAAGUCAAGAAUCCAAAAAUUCAAGAUAAUUGAUGAACUUAGUUCCUAGAAUCUAAGGAAGAGUUUCUUAAAUGAUGAUGCACAGGUUUCGCCAAAGGAUAUUUUCCAAAAAUUUUUGAGAUUUCAUAAAUAUGAUAUUUACUCUCUGAUAAUCGAUUACCAGAGGCUGUAAUCGAUUACCAGUGGCCAAAAUAAUUUCUGAAAUGCUCUUACAAAAUUUGAAUUUAAAUUUUAAGCCUAUAACCGAUUACACAAGGCUUGUAAUCGAUUACCAGAAGUUUUAAACGUUUUGUAACAGCCUUUAGAAAUUUGAAUUUAAAUUUUAAAGCCUGUAAUCGAUUACCAGACAUGAAAAUUCAAAUUUCAAAUCUGAAGAGUCACAACUCUUCAAAAACUAAUUGUGUAAUCGAUUACAACAGUUAUGUAAUCGAUUACCAGUAAGAAAUUUUUGAAAAUAACUCCCAAAAGUCACAGUUGUUCAAGAAGUUUUUGAAUAACCAUCAAAGACCUAUAAAUAGGUGACUUGGGACACGAAAUUCCUCAGAGUUUUCCUGAACAAAUUGUCUUAUCCUCUCAAUACCAAAUUGUCUUAUAACUCUCAAAAAGAAUUCCUUGGGCAAAACACUUGCAAAUUCAAUAAGGAAUCUUAAGUGAUCUUCAUUUGUAAUAUAUUUCUCUUAAAGAGAGAAUUCUUCUUUUUCUUCUUAUUCAAAUAAAUUGAUUAAGGGACCGAGGGUCUCUUAUGUUGUAAGAAUUUCUGAACGCAAGGGAAGGCUUGUCCCUGUGUGGUUCAGACUUUGUAAAAGACAUUUUACAAGAUAGUGGAAAUCUCAAGCGAGCUGCUUGGGAACUGGAUGUAGGCACAAGGCGUGGUCGAACCAGUAUAAAAACUGAGUUUGCAUUCUCUUUUCCCUUGAACUUCUUUUAUUUUAUUGCAGUUUAUAUUUCGCUUUAAAGAAGUUUAUUUUGAAUUGUUCUUGAAAUAAUUCAUAAUUAGGGUUUCAUUAUUAAUUAAAAAGAGAGUUAAAUUUUAAUUGGGGAUAGUUUGGUAUCUCAAUUCAACCCCCCUUCAUAAGAUACUAAGGCCACUUGUCUAACAAUGUUUGGUAUUGCGUCUUACAGUAUCAGUCCAAACAUUUGAGAAGGUUAGCUCGAAACAUUUUAUGGGGUUUGUGAGAAAGAUCCAGACAAGGUAAAUGUUUUUCAUGAAUUAUGUAGAAUAAUAAUAUGAAUAUUGUACCAUAUUAUCUCAUUCUUGACUCAAAUACUUAUCAAAUGCAACUUGUGUUCUAGUAUUAGGUUCUACAAGCAAUGAUUCAAAUGGGAGUUCAUGUCCCUACUGGAGAUAUGACUGUUAUUAGAAGAACAACACAAUUCUUCCUCAACAGGUAUUUAUAAACCAAUUUAGUGGGAAUAUAUCUCAAAUGGAAUCACCUCUAGUACUUAAGCAAUGAUAUUUCUACAAGUUAAUAGUAUUAUACGGAAAAUUUAAGGGUUGGAGAAUCCAAGUCAAAAUAUUUUAUCUUGAAAAAGAAAGGUUGAUAACUGUGAAAUAUGAGCUAAUUUGAUAGUUAAUUGUGGCUAAUAAAUAUGUGUAAUUUCUUUACUUUAUUAUUGUUUUUAAGGAAAUAAUGAAAAAAUUAACAUCUUUGCAAUUUUUUAUUAGCAAAAUUCAAAAGAAGAAGAUUUCAAGUGUUUUAGAGGAAAAAUUGAUGCAAAAACUGGAAGAAAAAGCCUUGAAGAAAAGUUGGAAUAAUUGGACAGCUCGCUUAGCGCGUGCUGCAAACUUAGCACGCGUUGAAGGCUUAGCGAGCAAAAAGCCUACAGCGAAGCCCAAAUGUGUGCUUAGCGUGAAAUCUCACACUAAGCACGAUUUCAGCGUAAAAAUUAAGCUACCAGGAGCCUAUAUAAGGAGGAGAAAGAAAAAGGGAAAGACACAUCGAGUCUCGAAGCUCUCCAGUGAAAAAAUCCAAAGUCUGAGUCUCUCCCUUAAGGGAAAUCCUCUUUUCUUAUCCAUGCCCCAUUUUCUUACUACUAGUCAUCCAGCCCUUUCUUCCAUUAGUCUCUGAAGUGUAAAUCCUCUCAUGGCUAUGAGAGGCUAAACCCUUAUGUUGGGAGCCUAGUAGCCAAUGCCUUUGUAAUAUAACUGUUCUUCUUAUCUAUUAAUGCAAUUUCAUUUUCUAUUGUUUCUUUUCUAUUUUUCAUCUUUAUUGUGUGGUUUAGCCAUCCAUGCAUCUGUUUUUAGGGGUUAUACAUUGGGAAAUGAUAAUUUCUAAAGAACUGGAAGGGGCAUCUCAAUAUUGCAUUACUAGGGAUAGAGUGACUUUGUUGUGCCUCUGCAUACAUCUUUAUAUUUAAUGUUGUUUAUGAUUCAAUCUUUGUAAAGAGAUUUGGGAGAAAGAAUACAUAAAUUAGGUUUUUCAUCAUGAGGGAUCAGGGUUGAGCAUAUUAGUAGAUGUGGGUGGAAAUUGGAAAAACAGUUAAUAGAGAAAAACAUUAAUAUUGCAUCAAGGAUAGUUAGGCAUGUUAGGCCCCAACAUUAUUACAUUAUGAACUCAUCUUUUUGCAUUUAAAUUACUGUUUAUUUUUGUUAUCUUUUUCUUUUCCUUUUAUUCCCAAAUUUCACACUUACAAUUCCCUUUCUCUUCUACUUCUCUUUCUUACAAAUUGAGUAUUUACCAACGUAAGUACAAACAAAGUCCUUGUGGACUCGACACUCGGUCUUCCAUUUUAAUCUUUACUACUUGUGAUAAAAAUUGGUACACUUGCCAAUCUAUUAACAAAGGUUUUGCAUAUUCAAUAUAUUUCUUUAGAUGGUUCUUUGGUUUGUUUCAUUUAUACCUGUCAUGUGGGAAGCUGAAAUGCAUGUAGUUGGGUUGUUUCAUUUGGGAAAGUAGUAAGAAAUAUUGGGUCGGAUACAUGCAACUCCAAUCAAGGUAUUGUUUGAACUGAUCUUUUGGAUAAUUUGUGUUGCUAAAGUUGUGAGUAUCUUAUUGAUUGCUAGUAUUGGUAGAUAAUGAUGAUAUGUUUAUAUGGUCCUAGCCUCAAAGGUAAUUGUUAGAUACUUCACCUUCAUGGAUCAAAUAUGCAUGGAGAUGUGGGAGGGGGAGAAAGUAGUGCGAUCAAGUUUUGUAUUUUUUAGAAGUCUCAUAUGGUUUGAAUUAAAGAUGGGUAUGGAUUUGGUGGGAGGAGAAUGUGCGAGGGUUAUGUGCAUGGAGAACGUUUGGAAAUGGCUGGUGCUACGAGAAUUGAGUUAUGGCAUCCAGUAAUGGUUAAGCUCUAUGAUUAAUUAUUAGUUAUUACAAAUAUAUCUUGUGCAAACUUCCAAAUGGUGCGGCGUGCAAUUUCUCCUAUGAAAACGGGGACAAGUUGGUCUAAUUAAGUCGGGAAUUUGAUUUGCUUAAUUUUUCUACUAGGAAAGAUUAUGUGCUAUUAAUGGUUAGUGGACUACCAUUGACAGAAAUGGAUAGUUAUAUACUUUGUAACCGGAAAUCACAUAUAGUAAUAUAAUCUUGUUAGUUUUAAUUAUAGGGUAUUUAAUUAAUUUACCUCUAGACAAAUUGCUUUGCACCCAAAUUUCACUAGACUAAUUUGAGAUAUUAACUAUUCUAACAACUAGUUGAUAUGCUACAUUGCUACUAAUGUGAGGACAACCAUAACUCAUAAUUAGAGAAUGGUCCUUUUAUUUUCAAAGACUUCCUUUGGUGUAAUAACAUAGUCAAAUACUAACUGAUGCAAUGGUUGAUUAUCACAACAUAUUUUUUUAAUGCGUUUCUUGGUUUAACUGUGAUAUCAUGCAGGCUGUAGUUAAGAGAAUGAUUGGUGUACAACAUUUCAUUAUUGAUUUAUAGCUUACUAGUCCUUUUGCCUAAGUUGAUUUCUUACUUGAUGUUAUUGCAGGAGCAUGUGAGGGAUGGAUUGCGUGUUCAACUUGCCAUGUUAUAUUCAUUAUUAUGGUUAAAUUUUUUUAAAAUUUUUAAUUUUUUUUAAAAAACACAUAUUCUAAGAGGGAAUGCUUACAUUUUAAGGCGUUUUUUUGGGGAAACCGUCUUAGAAUCCUCAAAAUGUUAAAAUUUUUUUAAAAAAAUAUAUUCUAAGACUAUUCUCUAAAGAAAAAAUCAUCUUAGAAUCCUCAAUAUAUUUUAAUUUUUUUUAAAAAAAUACAUUAUAUGACGGUUCUCUGAAAAACCCUCUUAGAAAGUCUACCCUUCUAAUACGAUUUUUAACAAGAACCAUCUUAGAAGGUAUCCUUCUAAGACGAUUUUUAGUUAAGAACCGUCUUAGAAGGAUACCUUUUUCUAUGAUGGUUUUUAUGGAACCGUCUUUCUACGAUGUUGCCUAUGAUGAUGGUUAAUAAUCGACGUCGAAUGUGUCUUUUAACUGACUUAGAAAACGCUUUGUCCAGUAGUAAAGCCACAACCAUGAUGUCACUUUGAUUAGCUCGAUGAAUUUUUGAAUAUCCCUUUCUUCCUCCUUGAACACUAUCAACUAUCAAGUUCCUAUGAAGCCACAAACUUCACACCAGUGCUUGCCAAAUUACCUUCCCUAUCUUAUUUUAAGGCAAUGUUUCCCUUAAUCAUAACAUGUUGCUGAAAGUGAUUACAUAACUUGUAAUGGAGAGCGCACUCCUUUAGGCUAAACCAAUCGUAAUUGGAAUUCCAUACUAGAGAUGCAAAACCACAGUUGAGAAGAAGGUGGUUUAUUGUUUCCAUCUACUAAGAACAAAAGGAACAAAGUUGACCACUAUUGUCCAUAAAAACAUUUCUCCUAAUCAAAUUCGUCUUUGAUUCAAUUCUAUCUAGCAAAGCUCUCCACGUGAAUCUCUUCACAUUUGAUAGGGCAGCCACCUUCCAGAUUGAAGCAGCACACAUACCAACCUCCCCCACAAAACUUUGUUGCUGCAAAACUCUGUACCCUUUGCUUACUGAGUAUAAUCCUGACUCACUUUGCUUCCAUCUCUAGUUGUCCCUAACAUGAUCUUUCACUUCCGAGAGCUAGGAAGCAUGGACACUUCCAAUGAAUUCCAUGUCCAUGUGUCUGACACCGACACUCUUCGGACUUGCGAUAGACAUUGUGUCGAACACGUUUUUCCAGCGCACAAUUCUUUUAAUUUUUUUUUUUGGCUUGGACAUGCCACAGACACUUCUCCAAAAAGUUGGAUACACAAAAAAUACUUCUCUAGACACACAAUGGAUACUUCUCUGGUUAUGUUUUUUAACAAAAAAUUUACAAACCAGCCCAAAAGAUUAUAUUAUAAAAAUUUAUUUUUAAAAUUAGCAUAUUUUGAUAACCUCUUUCACGUAACAUUUUGUCUUCUUCUCUUUUAUUCACGUUUGUGAUUUGUCUCUUUUGCACAACACCAUCCGUUCACAUUCUCGAGUACGCAGGUGUCACUGAUUAUUUUCCAUUCAUCAUUGCCUCAUCGGUGCCUCUAUUCGUCAUGUUUGGCUGACUUCGCGUUCAUGGUCUUUCUAUUUGUCACUUCAUCUUAUUUUUCUUUUCUAGUUCAUUGACUUUCCUCUCCUUUCAUGCAUUUUUUAUACACCCUUUGUUCGUCUUGAUAUAAAUCUUAAUUAUUAAUUUAUAUUCUUGUCAUGUUGAUCAUAUGUGUGUGUGUGUGUGUGUCAAGUCCCCGUAUCUUAUGGUUUAGAUUUUAGUCGUGUCCCAAUAUUUGUGUUUGUGUCGUGUCCUAUGUUCGAGUCCAUGCUUCAUAGCUAACAAGUUCACCUCAUCCAAAAACUCCCCCAUUAACUCAUAUUCCUAUUCAAAACACCUUUUCCUCCAUUUCCACUCCCAACACCACAUUUUCCAUCCACAACUUCAUUUAAGCUAUAAGGCAUUGUCUUUGUUUAGAUAAAGCAUAUAAUCUCGGGUAUCUUAUAGCCAAAGUCUCCAUUCCCCCUAUUUUUUAUGGCAUAACUCACAGUGUUCUCAUCAAACGAUUUCCCAUUUUUCCGAUUACCGCAUGCCCUUUCCACACCUUUCCACCAAUACGAUGGUUUAGAAAACCCCUCCCCCCUUUCCCUUCUUUAUACCCUCACCAUACUUAGACAUGAUUAUCCUUUCUCGAAGAGCCUCCUCAUUAGAAAAUAAUCUCCAUUUCCAUUUAGAAAGAAGAGCUAAAUUGAAGAGAUGGAUAUCUUUUACACCCAACCCUUCUUCCUCCUUAGGCCAACAAAUCCUAUUCCAUUUCACCCAAGCUAUUUUCCCUCCCUCUUCCCUCUUACCCCACAAAAACUCUAUUUGUAACCUCACCACUUUUUUAACCACCACAAUAGGAAUUUUGGAAAAAGAAAGGAAAAAAAGAGAUAACGAUUUGAGCACAAAGUUAAGUAAGCAAAUUCUUCCCCCAAAGGGUGCAUUCCUAUGUUUCCAUCUAUUAUGUUUCCUAUUCAUCUUUUGUAUAAUAGGCUCCCAUGUGCUUUCUUUGGCUGGAUUUGCACUAAUAGGGAUGCCCAAAUACUCAAAAGGAAGAUACAUUACCUUGCAAUUCAAAAGAGAAGCAUAAAUCUCAUUGGUGGCACUCUCAACAGCUACUCCUGCCAGUUUGCUCUUGAAGAAGUUUAUCUUUAGGCCCAAUACAAGCUCAAAACAUCUAAGGAUAGUCUUUAGGGUCAUAACGUGCUCCAUAGAAGGCUUGGCAAAAAAUAGAGUGUCGUCCACAAAUUGAAGUAGAUCAACCUCCAUGUGAUUUCUCCUUAUCUUCAUACUCAAGAACAGGUUUUUAUCUACCACUUCCCUCAUCAAUCCCGCUAGUCCCUCAGCCAUACAAAGGAAAAUGAAAGGUGCUAAUGGAUAACCUAGCCAUAAGCCUCUAUGCAUCCUAAACUCCUCGGCUGGGCUACCAUUCACAAGCACUAAUAAGAAACCUGAUUCAAUGCAUGCUUUCAUUCAUUUAAUCCAUAUCUCACAAAAAUCCAAUCUUCUAAGCAUAUAAAAAAGAAAUUUGCAAGAAACGAAAUCAUGUGCUUUUUAAAAAUCAACUUUGAAGAUCAAGCAUGGUUGUUUCUGUAGAAGCAAGCUUCAUGAUGAUGAAUCAAGUUGAUUCAAGUAGUUUUGAUGAUGACAAAGAUGAUGACAAAAAUCCUAAGAUAAUGAUUUCAAGAUUGAGUCAACAAGUUCAAGAUCAAGAUUAAUUUCAAGUUUCAUGAGAAGAAAUCAAGAAGAUUCAACAUUCAAGAGAAGUUUGGUUUCAAGAUUCAAGAGAAGAUGAAUUCAAGAUUCAAGAGAAGAAAUCAAGAAGACUUCACAAGGGAAGUAUUGAAAAGAUUUUUCAAAAAAACAAACAUAGUACAGUUUUGUUUUUCAAAAGAGUGUUUCUCAAAAUUUUCUAAGUUACCAGAGUUUUUACUCUCUGGUAAUCGAUUACCAAUUACCUGUAAUCGAUUACCAGAGGCAAAGUUUGAUUUCAAAAGCUUUUAACUGAACUUGCAACGUUCCAAUUGAUUUUUAAAUGGUGUAAUCGAUUACAAUAUAUUGGUAAUCGAUUACCAGUGUAUCUGAACAUUGAAAUUCAAAUUCAAUUGUGAAGAGUCACAUCUUUUCAUAAAAUGCUUUGUGUAAUCGAUUACAUGGUUUUGGUAAUCGAUUAUCAGUGACAAGUUUUGAAUAAAAAGUCAAGAAAUGUAACUCUUCCAAUGGUUUUCAGGUUUUUCUCAAGGUUAUAACUCUUCUAAUGGUUUUCUUGACCAGACAUGAAGAGUCUAUAAAAGCAAGACCUUGACUUGCAUUUGAAUAACUUUUUUCAUAUAUACUUUUACAACCUUUGAAUACCUUUGAACAUCUUUUUGAACUUCUUCUUCUUCUUCUUACUUUGCCAAAAGCUUUCUAAGUUUUCUGGUUUCCAAACCUUGUUCUUUCACAGAAAACAAAAGUGUGCUAUAUCUUUUUUUAUUCCCUUCUCCAUUUGCCAAAAAGAAUUCGACAAGGACUAACCGCCUUAAUUCUUUUUGUGUCUCUCUUCUUCCUUUUCCAAAAGAACGAAGGACUAACCACCUGAAUUCUUUUGUGUCUCCCUUCUCCCUUUUCAAAGAAUUCAAAAGGAUACAGUCUGAGAAUUCUUUUGAUUCUUCCCUUUCCCUUAAACAAAAGAUUUCAAAGGACUAAUCGUCUGAGAUAUCUUUUGUUUCCCCUUCACAAAGUUUUAAAGGACUAACUGUCUGAGAACUUUGUCUUAACACAUUGGAGGAUACAUCCUUUGUGGUACAAGUAGAGGGUACAUCUACUUGGGUUUUUGUAACUGAGAACAAGAAAGGGUACAUCUCUUAUGAAUCAGUUCAAGUGGAGGGUACAUCCACUUAGUUGUUCAAAGAGAACAAGGGAGGGUACAUCCCUUGUGGAUCUUUGCUUGUAAAGGUUUUUACAAGGUUGAAAAGAAAUCUCAAGGACCGCAGGUCGCUUGGGGAGUAGAUGUAGGCACGGGUUGUUGCCGAACCAGUAUAAAACUCUUGUGUUUGUCUUCUUCUUCCCUACACUCUUUAAUUUCCGCUAUGCACUUCAAUUAUCGCUUUUACUUUUGUUUAAGUUUCUAUUUCUGUUCUUUACUUUCUUAACAUUAUAGUAAAAGCCUAAUUGAAUCUAGUAACAUUAAGAAGGACAAAUUUUUAAUUAGUAAAGGUUCAUUAAUAAUUAAUUCAACCCCUCCCCCCCUUCUUAAUUAUUCCGAGGCCACUUGAUCCAACAGUUUCUUCCCUUUUUUUUACCUCAUCAACAACUUCAUUAGCCACCAUCACCCCAUCAAGCAUGAAUCUCCCACCAACAAAAGUGCUUUGUCGUUCAUCGAUUACUUUGCCUAACACCCUUCCAAGACGCAUAGCCAACAAUGUUGCUUUAAGUAAAUCACUAAUUUAAAAAUAAAUGUACUUAAUUUUAUAUAAGCACUUUAUAAAUAAAAAUAUCUUAAAGAAUUCUUUUCCAUCUUAUAAUUAAUGGCAUGUAUGCUCUUUAUCCUAUUCCAUGGGUAAUAAGACAAACACUUUUUUGUAUGUUGAUUUUUCUUACAAAAAAUAAAGUAAAAACUCAUGCAUCCUACAAGAGAAAUAAGCCUAAAUUCCCUUAGUCCCUAAGGAUUGUCCCUCUUAGGAAUUAGGGCAAUAAAAGGCGCAUUCCCUCCCUUGAGGAUCACCUUAUUGGAGUGGAACUCCUUCAAGCCUUAAUGAAAUCCACAUUUAGAAUAUGCCAAAACUUUUUUUAUGAAGGAGAAGUUAUAUUUGUCCCGACCAGGGCUUUUGUCUCCAUCACAAUCCCAUACCGCUUGCUUUAUUUCUUCAUCGUCAAAUAAAGCAAUGAGCAAAGUGUUGUCCUUUUCACCAAGCAAUUUAAAAUGCACUUCAUCAAAUUUCGGUCUCCUCCACUCUUCCUCUAAGAAUGUUUGUUGAAAGAAUUUCUUCAUUUGUUUUUCAUUUUUAUAAAUCAUCUUCCAACCUAUCAUUCACUUGAUCAUGAAGUCCCCUCAACAUAUUCAUUUUCCUCCUACCGUUAAUCAUAGCAUGAAACAAUUUUGUGUUACCAUCCUUUUCCUUCAACCACUUGCACCUAGUCUUUUGAUGCAUCAACGAUUCAAGCAUAAGAGAUACUUUCCAAAAUUCAUCAAAUAAGUCCUUCCUUCCCAGCACUGAUUCCUCACUCACAUCCUUCACCUCAUCUUAUAAAUCAAUCUCAUGAAUUUUUUCCACCAAUUCCCUUUUCUUUUGUUGAAAUUUUCCAAGUUGAUCUUUAUUCCACCUUUUCAACUCCCCCUUAAGUAAUGUGAGCCUUUCCUUUGACACAUAGCCCGCCCAGCCUCUCAUAUUCAUUCCUUUCCAUGAAUCCUCAACCAACUCUUUAAACUUCCCAUCUUGUAGCCAACAACUUAGCACCCUAUAGGAUUUAAGACCCCGAUCAACAUUGGAAUUUUUUUAGCACCAAGGGGCAAUGAUCUGGUACACUUCUCUUUGAAACAAAGGUUAUACUUCCCAACCAUUUUUCAAGCCACUCUUUAGAUACAAGGUAUCUAUCAAGUCUAUUCUUGCAAUGACUAUUGGGUUUAUACCAUGUGAACCUCCUCCUCACUAGUGGUGCAUCCUCUGGUUCCAUAUUUUGAAUGAAGUUAUUAAACUCAUUCAUUUCAGUUCCUCCUACCUCUAUCUUAAGUCUUCCUCUUCUUUCAUCCAUUUUCCUUAUUGCAUUAAAAUCUCCUAACACACACCAUAUCCCACUUCCCAAUUGAUUUUUUUACUUGAUGUAAAUCCUCUGAAAGCUUCCUCUUCUCAAGCAUAGUGCAUAGUGAAUACACGUACAUGAUCAUGCUUGGAUCUUCCCUUUCCUCCAUACCCCUUGCACCCCAAUAAAUCCACUUCCAAAAAAAGAAUUUUUCAUUUGGAAUAGCUCCUUUUUCCAUGCAAUAAAUAGACAUCCUACAACAUUAAUUGUUUCCCUUUCCAACCAUGCAACUUCAUCAACACCCCACAAUGAGUGAAAGAAGCUUUUGUCCACAUUUGUUAUUUUGGUUUCCUGUACAAACACCACAUCUAUUCCUCCCUCCUCUAUUAUUUUUCUCAACUCUUUCUUUUUUAUUCUCCCUCUCAUUCCUCUUAUAUUAUAGCUUAGUAUCUACAUAAUUCAACCAUGGUUGCACCUUCCUUUACCUCCUCUCCAAGUCUAUUCCUUUUGUCCCUUGUCAUUUUUCCAUAUGUGGAUAUUUUGGCAAUCAAAGCUCUGUAAGUUUUAAUUACACCAUACAUUCCUAUCAUUUCUCCCUCCCCCCUUUGAAACUUGUUUUCCAACUUUGUUUCCAGAUAUGCUUAUAGGCUUUAGCUUACUGUCCAUCCCCAAUUGCUUUGUGCCACAAGUUUCCCCUAGUUGCUUCGAGGGUCUCAUGCCUUCAAUGUUUUUUGCUCCCUUUUUCUAAUAUUCCUUCUUGCUUCUGUGUAACCACGUUUAUGCCCAAAGUCAUGUUAUGGGUUGAAGGUGAACUUAUGUCCAACAUCUUUUUCCUAUAAUUAUACUUAGGUUUCGCAGAUCCAUAAUCUUUAAAUUUUUUGCUCUAAGACUAGCCCACAUCUUCCUCCCUCGUAGCCUCGGGCUUACACUUAUUAACCUCAUUGUGUAUACCCGCAACUGCCAACUCCUUUUGAGUUUCUACCACAUAUUUCCCCAUCCCAUAGAGUAAGUUACCUACCUCCAUCUGGGCCCCACCAUUUCAAACUUCCUUUGUCUGCGUCCCUUCACCUUCUGACCCCUUCUCCUCCUUUUCUACACCUAUUGUUUCCCUUUCCUCAAUUGUCCCCUCAUUCCCUUUUUUAUUCCUUUUUUUUCCUGAUUUAAUUUUGUCUCUCCUUCUACAAGUUAUUGAUCUCCUCAUAGAGGGUAUUUUCCUUUUGUUCAUCCAUUUUGCUUAUGUCCCUUUGCCCAAAGUUUCCUUUUGUGUGUCUACUCCUCUACUAUAUUUUCUUUUUGUACAACCUAGGCAUGUUAUAAUGUCCUCUACUCUACUUUGCCCAUUUGAAUUUUUCUCCACCAGUACUUUCUCCCUGGCCAACGAUUGUGGUGCGCCUUUGGCUCCGCUUCCUUUUGCGACACCUCCCUAGAACCCUUUCAUCUUUUAUUUCUUCAUCAAAGCUUGAGCAUUCUGAUUCACUAGAAAUCCUACAUUCCCCAUCCAACCUGAAUACAAAUGAUUCUUCAUUUGAUUCAGAUUCACCCCCCUUCUGCAUCUUGCAUCAACAUAAGCUUUUCUUCUGACUUUUGUUUUCUUCCAACAUGAAGAUCGCACAAAUAGUGUUGUGGUUUUGACCUAUUGAUGUUUGUUGAUCAUCCUCGUUACUGAGGUUCUCACAAGUAUUCUUGCUUUGUCUAGCAUCGAGAAAAACAUGGUCCUUUCAUCAACCAUAACUAUAGAGCCAACAUAUGCUAUGAGUUUGCAAAAACAUCCCUGAUUCCAAAACUUAAAUGGAACGUCGUAACAGUUCACCCAAACCACUCAACUUCCUGCUCCCACAAAAUCUGACCAUGAGUACAUGUGUCCAAAUAUCUUUUUCCACCAUUCAGCAUUGUUCUUCAAAGCCAUCUCUAUUUUUAUAUCUCCCUUUAUAGACAACAAUGCCAAAUUGUCUCCCAGGCUUUUCACUUUGAUUGCCUCCAUGUCUUCCAAAAUGAAAAACUCUUUUAGCCUUGUUGUGUUGAUAUUAUUGCUCAUCCUAGCCACCCAACUUCUUCUCAACUAGUCAAUAUCAUUUUCCUCCAUUCUCAAGGUGGUCUAUUAAGUUAAAAGACAUUUGUAUCUUAAGGUGAAUAAAGACCCUUAAUUAUUUUGAUUACAUGUAAACAAAUACAAAGGUCAAAAGUUGUAUCUUAUGCAUCAUCAGAACAUGUUUUGUGAGUUUGCGUCUAAUUUUCCAGACGAUAGCAAGCUAAGAUCAUGAUUUUUUAGGACACUAAACUUGGCAUUUAAAGAUUUCACUUAAUGCUUUGUGUCUAAGAUUUGUUUAGCAGAGAUAUUCUCCUAGAAUUUGUCGAAUCCUAUGAAGAAUAAAUUAAGCUCAAGCUCUAAAAUUCAUCAAUUGCCAUCAAAAGAAUUGUUUUGUUGCACAAACCUACUUUUACGCAAAAAGAAGUGGUUUCUUGCUGAAGUAUUCAACAUGUUGGCAAAGAAGAUAGGUUGGCCAUUUUUUUCUUUUUUGUCUAAAUUUAUACAAAUUCAAAAGAAAAAAAUAACAAAAUAUCGAGCCAAAAAAAGAUGGAUUGAAUUCGAGUCUAUAUUUCUUAAGUCCAAUCAGACCCAACGGGCCCAUCAAGUCGACACAAAUAGGUUUGAUCUAUUAAGGUCAACAUUUUCUCAGUCCAUCUUGGCCUAACCCGGCAGGCUAAUAGGCUAGCCCAAUCCAUUUUGUCUUGUGGGUCAAUAUUUAAGUAUUUGAAUAAAAAAUAAUAAACCCAUAACUUCAUUAAAAUGAUAUAUUUUAUUACAUUAAGCAAAUGACAUAAUUUUAAUAAAUCUCAAAAAGAUAUAUCACACUUUUUCUUCAAUUUUGCUCUUAUAUUAUAGUCUAUCAUUAAAUUUAAGUCUUGCAAAAAAUAUCACAUACACAUAAAUAUAUCUAUGUAUAACAUAAGCAAGAUGUGUUUGGAUUUAAAAGAGACAUUUUUAUAUUUUUUAAACACAUCUCCAUCCUUAUUUGGUAAAACGGAAGGGAACACAUCACAUUUUUUUACAAUUGUAAUUUACUUGUUUGUUUUUCAAAUUAAUAUUAAUUUUAUAUUUAUAAUUUAGUUUAAUUUUUUUAUUCGGGUCCUCAAAGAAAAUGAUCUAAUUCUAUUGUUAUCUCUAUCAUCGUCAUAAUAUAAUUUUAUAUUAAAUCUUACAUAUAUUUUUGUUGUUUAUUGUCAUACUAAUUUUAAAUAUAUUUUCUUUAUAAUUUGAGUUUUUAUUUUUGUUUCUUAUCUUGUUAAAAUGAAAAUAUUUUAAUCCAUUACAUGUUGAUAUAUCACUGUGGCUCUCAAAAUUUAUUGGAUGUGGAUUUACUAAUGUAACACAUAAAAACUUAACAACUAAUUGAGUGAUACAUUUUAUUCAGAUGUGUCAUAUUAUUUUAAUUUGAAAAAAAAAGAGACAAAAUAAAAUAAUAAUUUCAAUUAUUUUAUAAAAAAGAUAAAAUGAUAUAGAAAAAUGGCCUCUAACCUUCAGCUACCAUUUAUUUUAUCUUUCUAUCUUUACUAUUCAACUUGACAUUCUAUAGUUUAUAUUUCAGUAUUUUACAAAUUUUAUUUUUUGCAUUAUUAUUUAUUCGGUUGAUUGAAAUUGGGCUUACAUGAGCUAUUAUUAUUUAAAUGCACCCCUCUUUGCUAAGUGCACCCCUUGCUUUUGUUUAAUUUUUUGGAUAAAAAUACCUCUCAUGGAAGCACGUCUCCGUUGAUCACCAAUGCAAAAUAGAAACAUGCUUAAAUUUGUAUUGGGGGUGUAUUCCCAAUACAUCCCACGGAAACACGUUCCAGUAUUAGCAUACAACAUUUAAAACAAUGAAAUAAAAAAAAUGAAGGGGAAAGAGAAUUAAUAGAAGAGAAAUGAAGAGGAGAAGGUGAGGGGAGAGUGGGUACAAGUGGGGUUACUAAAAUCAGAAAAAAGGGGGUGGGAUUGGGAUUGGGAUUGGGAUUGGGGUAGUAAGAUAAUUAUAGAGCUAGUGCGUUUAGAAAUAUUCUUUUUUUUUUUAUUGUUUUUGUUAUGUUUGUGUGUUAUUUUAUUGGGAAAAUGGACUUAAUGUGGCCCAAUAGAAUGAACAGCAUAAAAUGUUGCUUUGUGCACCAGCAGAAUUUCUGGUACACCCAGCAUGUUUUUAAAUUUCCCAUGAUACCCCUCCCUUAUAACUUCUUCUUUUCUUUCCUUCUUCUUAUUCUUCAUUCUUUCCUUCCAAACCGAAGAUUUGUUCUCGUGAGAGGUCUUCCAUGAGAGGUGCUCAUUCGUUGUUGUGUCAUUUUGGUGGAGAUGUAUUGUUUAUGGUGGUUCAUCGACAAGUGAUGGUUGUGUUGGUGAUUGAUUUGGCCAUUAACGACGGAGGUAUGGUCUUCGAUUUGGUUUAUUUCGAGUAAAACUUAUGGAUUGAUAAUUAGUAUAUUAUAUAAAAUUUAUUGAUUGAUAAUCCGUAAAUUUUAUAUAACUUACGAAUUGGUAAUCCGUAAGAAACUUACGGAUUGACAAUCCGUAUGUUACUUACGAAUUGGCAAUUCGUAAGUUCCUUUUUUAUUUUUAUAAUUUUUUAUUGUUUAAUUAAAUAAAAUUAGAAUUAUUAAUUAAAAAACUUAUAAAUAGAUAUAGUUUCAAUAUCCAUUCGAAAGUUGUAGUUUGAAAGUGAUAUUAAUCUUAAAAGAAUUUAUACUUUUAAUUUAAUUUAGUCGUUUUAACAUAAAAAAAAUUGUCCUUUUUAAUUUAAUGUAAUAUCAUUAAAUGCAAUAAAAAAAUGAGAAAAUUAUGUGAUAGUAUAAUUAUGAUUUGGUUAGGGAUUUUUUUUUGUCAUUGAAAUUUUUGAAUGUUCUAAUAAUAUGGACGAAGAUCAAUGGAUGCAUGACAGUAUAAUAUCUGAAGAAGUUGAUAUGAAUGAACAAAAUGAACACGAAGCUGGUGUGAAUGAAGAACAUGUUAAUUGUUCUGAUACGUUCAAUACUUUUUAGGUAUUAAUAUGAUUUAUUAUUAUUAAAGUAAGUAAAUGAAUGUCUCUUGAAGACUAAACUUGUAUGGAUUGUAUUGUAGGUGUUUGCUACCCAUGAUGAUGUUCUAGAUUGGACUCGAUCUGUUGCUUAUGAAAUUGGUUUUAUGGCGGUGAUUAUGAGAUCAAACACAAAUAUUGGUAUUAGAGGAAGGACCUCAUUUGUUUUAAUUGAUUGUGAAAGGAGUGGUCAGUAUAGGACCAAGAAGAAAGAUUUGGUAAGAACAAUUACUAGUAGUAGAAAAUGUGGGUGUCCCUUUAAGCUACAUGCGAAACCAGUGGUGGGAGGCGAAGGAUGGAUGGUGAAGUUAAUGUGUGGGAGUCACAAUCAUGAAUUGGUCAAGUUAUUUGUUGGACAUCCAUAUGUUGUCGACUGACUAAGGAUGAGAAGAUCAUUGUUUCUGAUAUGACAAAGUCAAUGGUAACAAGAAAUAUUCUUCUAACGUUGAAGGAGCACAAUGCCAAUAGUUAUACAACAAUCAAGCAAAUAUACAAUGCAAGAAAUGUGUAUCAUUCUUCCAUAAGAGGUAGUAAUACUAAAAUGCAACAACCAAUGAAGCUUCUUGAAUGGGAUCAAUAUAUUCAUUGGCAUAGAUUGAAGGAUGAAGAUGUUGCACAUGAUAUAUUUUGAAGUCACCCUGAUGCAGUCAAAUUAACCAAUGCCUAUAAUUUGGUAUUUUUGAUAGAUAGUACCUAUAAAACAAACAGGUACAGGAUGUCAUUACUUGAUAUUGUUGGUGUGACACCAACAAGGAUGACAUUCUCGGCUGCUUUUGCCUAUUUGUUGGGCUCUACAACGAUUUUGAGAUUUUUUUCUUCAGACAUGAUGCACUCCCUAAAAUUAUUGUUACCGACAGAGAUCUAGCAUUGAUGAAUGCAGUGAAAAUUGUAUUCCCUGAAGAUACCAAUUUGUUGUGUCGGUUUCACAUUCCCUAGUUGGUAAAAAAAAUGCAUGGGAUUAUGUCAUGGAAGCCUGGGGGAGUUUGGUGGAUUGUCCUUCUGAGCAAGAGUUCGAUAACUUCCUUAUGAAGUUUGAAAUUGUUUGCUCACCAUGGCCAAUGUUUGUUGACUAUGUGAAGCAAACAUGGUUAAUUCCUCAUAAAGAAAGAUUUGUUAAAGCCUGGACGAAUAAGGUGAUGCAUUUAGGAAAUACAACAACUAACAGGUAUGAAAAAUUAAAUAUAUUUUGGUAUUAGGGUUCAGGGUCUAAUGGAUAAAAAUAAUUGUUUUUGUUUACUUGUUUGUGUAUUUCAAAUGCAAGGUUGAGUCUGCUUAUUGGGCCUUAAAGAGACUACUGUAGAAUAGCCUUGGAGACCUGUGUACUGUUUGGGAAGCCAUGAACAACAUGAUCACGUUGCGACACACUAAAAUUAAAGCAUCUUUUGAGACAAGUACACAUGUCGUUGAACAUGUUUUUAAAGUUACCUUAUACAAGAAACUACUUGGCAUGGUAUCAAGGUAUGCUUUAAACUAAAUUGUUGUUGAGUUUGAGUGAGUAUAUUAUGUUGGCAAAAACCCUUCUCAUUAUGGAUAUAUAAUGAGAACUACUCACGGUCUUCCAUGUGCAUGUGAGCUAGCUAUAUAUGUUUAUGGUACCAUACCACUUGACACAAUCCAUAUGUUUUGAUGAAGGCUAAGAUUUUCAGACCAAAGGUUAUCUAAGCUUGAAGUCAGCAUAACUAAAGAGAUGGAAACCAUAACCAAGCGGUUUAAAGAGCUUGAUGUUUAUGGAAAAGUUACUCUAAAGAUUAAACUUCGGGAAAUUUCCUACCCUGAUCUAAACUCUUUGUGUGCUCCUCCAAAAAAGGUGAAAACAAAAGGUGCUCAAAAGCAACCGAUGACCAAACAUCAAAGAUCAACAAAGUGUGAUCCAUCUUACUGGGAGUAUGUUGAUGCAUUACAUUCUGUGCAAAAUAGUAAUUCUUCAGUCAAACGUAGUGCAUCAUCAUCUGAUCAAGCAAAACCAAGAAGGAUCAUGCCGAUGUUGGAUCAAUUUCAUCCACGCAUUCAUGAUUCCAUUGAAAAUAUUGUUGAUGUCAAAGCUGAUGGUAACUGUGGAUAUCGUGCAAUUGUUUCCUUAUUAGGUAUGGGUGAAGAUUCAUGGUUUUGGUUCGCAACCAUUUACUUAAAGAACUUGCAAAAUGGUCUAAUGAGUAUAUCAACUUGCUUGGUGGCACUAACAGAUUUGAGAAAUUAAAGUGGUUCCUACUUGUUGAUGGAUUAUCCAUGGUAUAUAAGUUUUUUGUUACGUUUCAAUGGAUUAAAUUUUCUUUAAAUAAAUGUAAUUAUAACUAUUACAUGCAAGUUACCAUGGAUAAGUGGAUGAAUAUAACUGACACGGGAUAUGUGAUUGCAUCAAAGUAUAAUGUCAUCCUUGUUUCUCUUUCUCUCCAACAAAGCAUGACGAUUUUUCCUCUUAGAAGUCCACCACCAACAAAUUGUUCUGUGCAUCGGGUUAUAUGUAUCGUUCAUGUGUAUGGCAAUCAUUUGGUUAAGGUAAAAACAUCAUCAUCCUAAUAAUUUGAAUAUGUAUGUCCUUAUGAUACAAGUAUUUCUAAGAGACCGUUGUCCCUUACCGCCAAUAACUUUGUUAUGGUCUACACAUUGUCAUCAUUAAGCAAAGCAGUGGCCUACACCAUAUAUUGGUAGAAUGCAGUAGUAUACAAAUUUGUCAAGGUUGAAAAUAGACUUUGUUGAUUUAGGUGAAGAUUGAACAUUUAGUUACUUAUGCAGUGGUCAUGUAAUACGAUAAUAUAUGUGUAUUUCAUUGGACGUUCAUAUAAUUAUCUAUUUUAGUUAAGCUUCAAAUGAUAUAUAAUUAUUUAUGUUUUAGGGUUACUUGACUACCUAGGGUCUAGGGUUAUGUCGCUAAUUAGGGUGUAUCGUUACCUGAUCAAUUAGGGUUUAUGGUUAAGUCAGUACUUAGGGUUUACUAUUACGUGACUAAUUAGGGUGGUUUCAUUGAUUAGGGUUAUUAAAGGUUUAACAUCGCGUUAUAAAUUGGUGAUUAAUUUAAAAUUCACAUACAACAUAAAUGAUAAUAAUUAAAAAGCGUAUCAAAUAACAUUAAAUAAUAGACAUUAUUCAAUCAUAUUGCAUACAUAAUUGAUAUAAAACCUAAAAAAUAAUAAAAGUCUUCAUGUGUCUUCCAUACGUCGCCUUCGUCUCAAUUGAACAUAUACAUUUCGUUGCUCAAUCACACCUUUUGUGAUCCUUAGGCAGCCUUCAGCGACAGUGUAUAUUUCUGUUCCUUCAAUCACUAUCUUAGGUUGAGCAACAUUUCCAACCUUUUAUCUAUUGCUUGGCAAGCCUCCUAGGACAUUGACAACAAGGAAAUUUUUUUAGGGUUAAUGCAUGUUCAGAUAAAAUGAGUAACAGUGACAACUUAAAAUAAAUUUUACCACUACAUGUCAAGGCUGCUCUACAUCAGCAUGUGCAUCUGCAAGAGCUUCGUCCAUAGCCAUUACCGCCAUCGACUACUGAGGAAGAUCUGGUUCAACAAAUGUGUCGUCGUGCAUCACGGGUAGAUGUCUAGGAGGAUCCCCAGGCUGUGCGGGAGUCAUGAAGGGAUGAGAUAUCAUGUAAAACCACUCCGUGUAGUCUGUUGCACACUAUCCGAGCGCAACACAUAUCUGACCCACCGGUGCAAGCUAUUCAGAAAACUGAAUCCAUCUAUCAUCAAUCUAUUCUACAUAUAGACAUGGAGCAGUAGGGUGCGGUGGAAUGGUCUGCACAUACCCAAACUGUCGCACAACCCUCUCUGAUCGAUGUACAACAAUAGAUGGACCCCAAUGGAUAUGUUUGGAAAAUAAAGAGAUCAGCUCAAAUUCUCUUAAUGCACGGUGGUCAGAGUAAGGAAUCCAGCACACAGAAUCAAACGUCAAUCUAUCUAGACGCUUACGAUACAUCGACACUGGCAAUGCCCUUCCUGACUUCCAACGACAAGCACGUGGUUUCCUCUCAUCAUAAUCUUUAGCAGAAAUAAAAGAAGCAACAAAAGGAAAAUGCUCGUAGAUCCAACACUGCACAUAUUUAAAAACAACAAAACAAUACUCAAUAUAAACUAAAGAACUAAAAAAAUUAAAAGUACUUGUAAAAGUGUGAUAUAUCCUGCAAGUUUUCUGGCGCUACUCUUUGACACAUCAUUCAAAUUCUCAUACAUAUGGACCAGUGCAGCAGCUUUCCAUGCAUAGAUUCCACUCUACGUUAGGUCACGAAAUGCGUCCAAGAAUACCACAUGAACGUGUGUGACACUCUUGUUAGCAAAAAGUGUGCAACCUACCAGAUGCAACAAAUAUGCUCGAGCUGCUACAGUCCAUUGUGUUGCGUCACAUUUGCAUUGAUAUAUGUCUCGCAGCUAGGAUAGUCGAACAUAUGCCCCAUGGCAUUGUACUGUCUCAGCUCUUGCCUCUUCAAAACUCAUUUCAAGCAAUUCAACUAAAAGGAAGACGACAUCAUCCACAUGAAGAGCCUCAAAGCUAUGGAAGGUGCCUGUAAUGGGCAGAAGUAGCAAUGAUGCUACAUCAUCCAGGGUGAUAGUCUCAUCUCCUAUCGGCAAAUGGAAAUUACUAGUUUUCUUAUGCCACCUCUCCGCAAAAGUAGAGAUAAGUCCUUGAUCACCAGUGUCCAGCAAACAUGCGAUUAGAGGACUUAAUCCUGUGGCAGCCACUAAGCCUUCAAUAUCUGGAGCAAGCCUGCCAAAUUUCUCUACCUUCCUUUCAUAGGAGGACAACUUCAACUCAGGACGUUCCUAACAAUAAAAAUUUUAAUCAUUAUAACAAUAAUAACAAAUAGUUAUGAAAAUAUUAUUUAUCAAAAUAUAAAUACCCCUCUAUUCCAAAUUGUCACUGUCAUAUGAUAAACAUAGUCCAUCAAAACUGAUUUAUCGUGGGGUCCGCCUGGAAAACCCUCGACAUCAGUAACUACAUCAUCAACAGCUGUCUCUACAGGCUCUUCAUGCACCUCAUCAGCUACAUGAUACACAUGCUCGACAUCCUCAGCAAUAGGUGCAACUUCAUGUUGCCUACGUGCAGAUGUUGUGGGCCUUUGUCACUGGGGGCUUCAUCCGCAUCACGACUCUCUAAGGCUCUUCAUAUAAUUCUACCUAAAGCCCGACCCAAACCUCUGGUCUUAACCAUAAUUUGCACAUUAAAACAGCCAUAACAAUUAAUGUCAUUCUUCAAAUAAUAUUUCACUUUCAUUAAUAUAUAUUUACCAAUUUAUUAUUUAACUUUUUUGAUACUUUUAUAUAUUCAUAAAUCAAUAUACAAUUUUUAAAAAAAAAUAUUUAUAGACUACACACCACUAAUUCUAGUAAACUUAAAUAUAUGAUAAAAAUCAUACAAGUAACUAUUUCAAAUUUCAAAUAUAAUUAACUUGCAUAAACAAAUAACAAAAAAUAAUAAUUUAUUAAAUUAAAUAAUUAUUACUAACCAACUUAAAAAAGAAAUUUAAUUAAUUAAUUAAAUACAUAUUAAAAAUAUACAACAAUAUUUAUUUUUUAUUUAUUACAUAAAUAUUAUAACAACUAAAUUAUUAAAUUGUUAAUUAUAAAUUAUUAAAUUAUUAAUUAAUUAACUAAAAUUAAUUAAAUAAUUAAUUAUGUAAAUUAUAUGAAUGAUUAAUCCGUGUAUAAGCCAUAUGGAUUGACAAUCCAUAUCACUUAUAUGGAUCCCCAACCACACUCAACAAUGGCAAUGACAGCACACAAACAACCACAAAGACGAAGAGCUACUUACGCCGCGAAAGGAGAAUAUGACGAUGAUUGUGAUGGAGUGACCGACGGCACCAAUGGCGGUGGCAACGACGAGAGAAGAAGACACAAUGAAUGAAGGAGAUAGCGGCGCAACCUGUACGGACAACCCGAGGGAGAAGGAGAGUGAGAGGAAAAGGGUUUUUAAAAUUAAUGUUAAAAACAUUUUUGCUACUUCACAUUAUUUUUGCUAAGUGCACCAGCAUUUCUGUUGGGUGCAAGAAGCACUAGCCAAGGAGAAAACUAAAUUGUUGGGCCAAACUUUAACCAAUGUAAAUUGUUGUGCAAUAUGAUAAAAAUAUGGAAGCAAUAUAUACAACAUUAUAAAAAUAUUGAUCAAAAUGUACAAUAUUUUGAAAAUAUGAGGAUAAAAUGUGAGAAAAAAUAAUGAAUAUAUAAUAAAGUUAUAUGAAUGAUAUUUGUUGUCUUUGAACCUCUUGGAUAAUGUCAUUGUCAAUCUCAAACCGUCAUUAAUCUCCUGUAACUCAACCCUAUCGCCCAUGUCACGCAUGCAAGCCCCCAUUACACAACAACUAAUCUAAACUCUUCGAUUCUUAAUAUUUAUUUAGUUCCUUCGUAAUAAAAUAUUUGUAGAACAAUUAUCAAGCCUUAUUUUAUUCACGCUAAACCUAAAUGGGUAUUUUUUUAAAAGGAAAAUGAAUAAUGUUAAUCCCAAUUUUGAGUGCAUGCGUAAGACUAGAAGAUAGAUAAAAAUAUACAAAAAUAAAAUAAAAGAUGCAAUUAUUAAUAUGAUAAAACAAUAUUAAAAAAAUGUGAUAAAAAUUUGAAAAGAAAGAAAUAAGUAUCGGCAUUGGGGCAAUCGAAGGAUAUACAGAGACGAGACUUUCUCCAAUGGGGCCAUAAGCAAAUCAUAUAAGUGAGUCUAACAUCACACUUUAACUUAAAACCUUAAAGAUAGAUUUAUGGGUGUUCUCUUCACUUAUAUGGUGUUUAACUUUUUCAUUCUUAUUCAAUAUGAGACUUCAUCUCACACUUGUACAAUAACAAUAUUUUAAUUAUUGUGAUUUAUCCUUUUUAGAUCACAUAAAGAAAAAGAAUAAAAAUGUAUAGAAGAAUAUAGAGUAAAAGUGUGCUAUUUAAAUAGAUAAAAAUAAAUUAUUUAAAAAUAUAUACUAAUUCAAAUAUUAAAUUUAACUUACAUUAAAAUUUUAUUAAAUUAUUUUUCUUAACAAAAUUAUUUAUUUAUAUGUUAAUAAAAUUAUUUAACUUUUAAGAAAACUAAUACAAGA
rnacentral:lncRNA from 1 species